ACUAAACCGGCUGUAGGAGCAACUAAUGACUGACGACUCUGAAGCCCAAAUUUAAGUUUGCUGGAAAGACUGGAGGCACGAUUCUUUUGGAGGGCCGAUGGGGUGGAUAGUGUUUCUGAAGACGGGGCCCUGGCCCCCUCAUCCCCACCGCUCGGGAGCACCACUGCACCAACAGGACAUGGCCGAGGUACAGCAGCUUUGGGGUUGCCAAGGCGAUGAUCUGAAGGACCCAGAAGCGGACGUGAGAGAUGGGAAAGGCG